AGUGAACGCUGGCGGUAGGCCUAACACAUGCAAGUCGAACGGCAGCACAGUAAGAGCUUGCUCUUACGGGUGGCGAGUGGCGGACGGGUGAGGAAUACAUCGGAAUCUACUUUUUCGUGGGGGAUAACGUAGGGAAACUUACGCUAAUACCGCAUACGACCUACGUGUGAAAGCAGGGGAUCUUCGGACCUUGCGCGAUUGAAUGAGCCGAUGUCGGAUUAGCUAGUUGGCGGGGUAAAGGCCCACCAAGGCGACGAUCCGUAGCUGGUCUGAGAGGAUGAUCAGCCACACUGGAACAGAGAAACGGCCCAGACUCCGACGGUAGGAAGCAGUGGGGAAUAUUGGACGAUGGGCGAAAGCCUGAUACAGCAAUAUCGCGUGGGUCAUGAAGGACUUCUGGUUGGAAAGUCCAUUUGUUGGGAAAGAAAAGCAGCAGGUUAAUCCCCCGCUGUUAUGACGGUACCCAAAGAAGAAGCACCGGCUAACUUCGUG
rnacentral:rRNA from 1 species